rnacentral:rRNA from 1 species
UACGUAGGGUGCGAGCGUUAAUCGGAAUUACUGGGCGUAAAGCGUGCGCAGGCGGUCAUGCAAGACAGAUGUGAAAUCCCUGGGCUCAACCUGGGAACUGCAUAUGUGACUGUAUGGCUGGAGUACGGCAGAGGGGGAUGGAAUUCCGUGUGUAGCAGUGAAAUGCGUAGAUAUGCGGAGGAACACCGAUGGCGAAGGCAAUCCCCUGGGCCUGUACUGACGCUCAAGCACGAAAGCGUGGGGAGCAAACAGG